rnacentral:rRNA from 1 species
GACGCUGGCGGCGUGCCUAAUACAUGCAAGUCGAACGGUCUUUCUAUGGAAGCUUGCUUCCACUGGGAAGAUAGUGGCGAACGGGUGAGUAACACGUGGGUAACCUGCCCAUAAGAGGGGGAUAACAUCCGGAAACGGGUGCUAAUACCGCAUAGUUUUCUUGAUCGCAUGAUUGAGAAAGGAAAGACGGCCUUUGUGCUGUCGCUUAUGGAUGGACCCGCGGCGUAUUAGUUAGUUGGUGAGGUAAUGGCUCACCAAGACGAUGAUACGUAGCCGACCUGAGAGGGUGAUCGGCCACAUUGGGACUGAGACACGGCCCAAACUCCUACGGGAGGCAGCAGUAGGGAAUCUUCCGCAAUGGACGAAAGUCUGACGGAGCAACGCCGCGUGAGUGAAGAAGGUUUUCGGAAUCGUAAAACUCUGUUGUCAGAGAAGAACAAGUUGGAGAGUAACUGCUCCAGCCUUGACGGUAUCUGACCAGAAAGCCACGGCUAACUACGUGCCAGCAGCAGC